CAGCCGCCGCGGGAACACGGAGGGUGCAAGCGUUAAUCGGAAUUACUGGGCGUAAAGCGUGCGUAGGUGGUGGUUUAAGUCCGUUGUGAAAGCCCUGGGCUCAACCUGGGAAUUGCAGUGGAUACUGGGUCACUAGAGUGUGGUAGAGGAUAGUGGAAUUUCCGGUGUAGCAGUGAAAUGCGUAGAGAUCGGAAGGAACAUCUGUGGCGAAGGCGACUAUCUGGGCCAACACUGACACUGAGGCACGAAAGCGUGGGGAGCAAACAGGAUUAGAUACCCCAGUAGUCCCUGUCUCUUAUAC
rnacentral:rRNA from 1 species